GGAUGAACGCUGGCGGCGUGCUUAACACAUGCAAGUCGAACGAUGAAGCCCAGCUUGCUGGGUGGAUUAGUGGCGAACGGGUGAGUAACACGUGAGUAACCUGCCCUUAACUCUGGGAUAAGCCUGGGAAACUGGGUCUAAUACCGGAUAGGAGCGUCCACCGCAUGGUGGGUGUUGGAAAGAUUUAUCGGUUUUGGAUGGACUCGCGGCCUAUCAGCUUGUUGGUGAGGUAAUGGCUCACCAAGGCGACGACGGGUAGCCGGCCUGAGAGGGUGACCGGCCACACUGGGACUGAGACACGGCCCAGACUCCUACGGGAGGCAGCAGUGGGGAAUAUUGCACAAUGGGCGCAAGCCUGAUGCAGCGACGCCGCGUGAGGGAUGACGGCCUUCGGGUUGUAAACCUCUUUCAGUAGGGAAGAAGCGAAAGUGACGGUACCUGCAGAAGAAGCACCGGCUAACUACGUGCCAGCAGCCGCGGUAAUACGUAGGGUGCGAGCGUUAUCCGGAAUUAUUGGGCGUAAAGAGCUCGUAGGCGGUUUGUCGCGUCUGUCGUGAAAGUCCGGGGCUUAACCCCGGAUCUGCGGUGGGUACGGGCAGACUAGAGUGCAGUAGGGGAGACUGGAAUUCCUGGUGUAGCGGUGGAAUGCGCAGAUAUCAGGAGGAACACCGAUGGCGAAGGCAGGUCUCUGGGCUGUAACUGACGCUGAGGAGCGAAAGCAUGGGGAGCGAACAGGAUUAGAUACCCUGGUAGUCCAUGCCGUAAACGUUGGGCACUAGGUGUGGGGACCAUUCCACGGUUUCCGCGCCGCAGCUAACGCAUUAAGUGCCCCGCAUGGG
rnacentral:rRNA from 1 species